rnacentral:rRNA from 1 species
AACGAACGCUGGCGGCAUGCCUAACACAUGCAAGUCGAACGGGUACCUUCGGGUGCUAGUGGCGCGCGGGUGCGUAACGCGUGGGAAUCUGCCCUUGGGUUCGGAAUAACUCAGCGAAAGCUGUGCUAAUACCGGAUGAUGUCGAAAGACCAAAGAUUUAUCGCCCGAGGAUGAGCCCGCGUUGGAUUAGCUAGUUGGUGGGGUAAAGGCCUACCAAGGCGACGAUCCAUAGCUGGUCUGAGAGGAUGAUCAGCCACACUGGGACUGAGACACGGCCCAGACUCCUACGGGAGGCAGCAGUGGGGAAUAUUGGACAAUGGGCGAAAGCCUGAUCCAGCAAUGCCGCGUGAGUGAUGAAGGCCUUAGGGUUGUAAAGCUCUUUUACCCGGGAUGAUAAUGACAGUACCGGGAGAAUAAGCUCCGGCUAACUCCGUG